GCGCCGAACCGUAAUUCUGCUGGCGGCGCCCAUACCUCCGGCCGACCGGCGACGCGGACGUCGACAGCAAGCCCCCACUGCUCCGCCGGAUCCUCCCCUCCCCAUUCUCUCCGGUCUCCGCCAUCUCCACGGCCACGGGGACCCCCAUACUCGGCGUCCCGAUCCUCUCCGGCCGACCGGCGACGCCCAAGUCGACAGCAAGCCUCCGCGGGUCCGCCGGAUCCUCCCGUCCCCAUCCUCUCCGGCCUCCACCAUCUCCACGGCCACGGGGACCCCCAUACUCGGCGUCCCCAUCCUCUCCGGUCUUCCUCUGGUCGUCCCGUACUCGGCCGGCCACGGCUCGACGGCUCCACCAUCUCCUCCGCCACGGCCACGGCUCGACGGCUCCACCAUCCCCACGGCUCACUGCUCAAGCCUCAAGCGGUCAGGCCUCAGAUGUCCGAGACCGAGAGUCAUAGCAUGGCACACUUGGAUGUUGAUCUUGGUUUUGAAGGUGAUGGCUCCGGCACUGGUACCGGCAUUGGAUCUGGUCCUACAAAUUCGACCCCAGUCAGCAGUGUCAAGAAACAAAUGAACAAACGUAGCAAGAUAUGGCAGCACUUCACUGUCCAUGAAAAUGAUCCAAAUCGUGCCAUUUGUAACUAUUGCGGUUCAAAUCUGGGCUGCAAAUCUUCAAGUGCAGGUACUUCUUCCCUCAUAAACCAUAUGAAAUCUUGCAAGAAGAAUCCUAGCAAGCUUGGUGGCCAUCAAACAGAGCUUAUGUACCAACCUAGUGCUGAUGGUAAUUCUAUUCCUUCGGGAGGUACUUGGCAAUACAAUGAGAAAGAAAUUAGGGAAGCAUUUGCUCGCAUGAUAGUAGUCGAUGAGCUGCCAUUCAUAUUUUCAGAAAAAGAAGGUUUUAGGUUCUUCAUGUCCAAAGCUUGUCCUAGGUUCAUUGUUCCAUCUAGAACAACUAUGUAUAGAGAUGUUAUGGCUCUUUACAAUUCUGAGAAAGCUAAGCUCAAAAAAUAUUUCAUUGAUUCCCGUCAAACUGUUUGCCUCACCACUGAUUGUUGGACAUCGUCAAAGGCUCAAGGAUACAUGGUUCUUACUGCACAUUACAUCACCCCUGAGUGGAAUCUUCAAAAAAAAAACUUAGCUUUGUGUUGGUAGAUGGCCACAAAGGGGAGGAAAUUGGGAAAUCAUUAGAUAAACUACUAAUGGAGUGGGGCAUUGAUAAAGUGUGCACUAUUACCGUAGAUAAUGCUUCUUCCAAUGAUACUUGCUUAAAUUACAUGAAGAGUUCUUUGACAAAUAGGGAUGGUGCAAAUAGCAAAACUGAAUUGGACAAGUACCUAUCCGAGGAUCCAGAAGAGCAAUCUCCUGAAUUUGAUGUUCUCUGUUGGUGGAAGUGCAACUCUGCUCGUUUUCCCGUCCUUUCAAAACUGGCACGUGACAUACUAGCAAUCCCCAUCUCAACUGUUGCUUCUGAAUCAGCUUUCAGUACUAGUGGUCGUAUUCUAGAUGACUUCAGAAGCUCUUUGACCCCGAUGACACUACAAGCCUUGAUAUGUACACAAGACUGGUUGCGCCGUAAGCGUAUCAAUAUUGAGGCUGAUCUUGCUGAAUUGACCAAGCUAGAGGAAGAUUUUGGAGGCCUCCAAGUGGAUGAUGAUGAGAUAAUACCUCUUGAUUGAUCCUCCUGUGUGGAGACGUAGAGUAACUGUUGGCGAAAAUCCAAGACCAUGGUGUAUCCGUGUAUGCUAGUUGCUAGCUGUAGCUAGUUGCCUGUUUGAGUUGGCGAAAAUCCAAGACCAUGCUGUAGCUAGUUGCAUGUUUGAGUUUGCCCCAUGGACCAGAUGAUGUACUGAUCUGCUAUGGUGCUAUUUUCCUGUUCAAGUUGCCUGUUCAAGUUUGCCCCAUGGUGUAUACUGCUAGUUGUAGCUACCCUGUAGCUGCUAAUCUGCUAUGGUGCUAU